UACCGCGCAAAAAAAGACGGGCCAUCCACCAGGCCAUUGCCACCGUCGUUGUUCGCAUGUGCCUGGUCCUAGCGCCUGGGGAGAAUGGUUUUAUUUUUCUGUUUGCAGAUCGAUGACUCUGGGUGCAUACUCUGACCAAUCUGAGCAAUCUUGAACGCUGAUCUAGAUCGAUCUAUGAGGAUCAGCUAUUGAUUUUGCAACUGAGGCAAGUCAGAUGUCUCAAAUGUUAUAUGCUUCAUGAUUUGACAUGAUGUGCACAGCAAAAAACACAGACAGCUUGAAACUUUUCCUCGUACGACAAGUUGAUAAUAAUUGUGCAUAACAGUGACAAACUGGGAAGUGAAGGAAAUCAUCAAUGGAUGCUUGAGUUGCCAAAAAUAAAUCAAUGGAACCUUCAGAAAGGCAUGGCACCACAAAAAGCUCACCUGGGAAAGAAUAAUAACUCUCAGCCCUUUUUCCCUGAUUUCUCGGAUCAUUUUGUCAAGAAGCAGUAGCUUCCCACUUGCAUGCACUCCAAUAUCUAGGAUAUCAGUUACUGGAUGGCCCUUGA